ACUCGAUCGCGUUAAAGUUAACUCAAAUUUGUAUGGAGUUGGAACACCUUUCCUUCGUUUGCCGCUAGGGGUGCUGUUCCAACUCUAUAGAAAUUUGAGUUAACUUUAACGCGAUCGA
rnacentral:pre_miRNA from 9 species